CCAGCUCCAAUAGCGUAUAUUAAAGUUGUUGCAGUUAAAAGGCUCGUAGUCUGCUUUUAGAUAUUCGACAGUUUUCCCCAACUCGAUGAGUUGGAUGUGAAAUUAAUCGUUGUCUUUGUGGCAUGUAUCACUUCUGCUCUUCGUUGGGUUGGUUGUGAGAUCCUGCUUCUUUUACUGUGAGAAAACCAAGGUGCUCAAUGCGGACAUUUUUGUUUAUAUGCGUUAGCAUGGAAUAAUGAGAGAUGGCUUUGAUCCUUUUUGUUGGCUGCGGGAUUAAAGUAAUGAUUGAUAGAGAUGAUUGGGGAUGCUCGUAUUCAAUGGUAAGCGGUGAAAUGCUUGGACCCGUUGAAGACGAACCUAUGCGAAAGCAUUCAUCAUGGGUAUCUUCA
rnacentral:rRNA from 1 species